rnacentral:tRNA from 1 species
CUGAAUUAGAGAUGCCAUAACCAUCCAGUGACAUCGACUAUAACCCUU